AUUUAAACUCACAAUUCUGACUUUUUUUUUGGCGCAAUUGAUAUAAACUUUGACCUUUCUCGUAAUUGGGAUGGAAGUAUGCCACGAGUUGUGACCAGAGUCUUCCGUUUCAUCGUCAAAGACAGAGCUUGGAUGGACAUUUUCCGAUGACAAGGAUGGACGAUUUUAUCAUUUUUCUGAGGGAGAGGAACAUUCCAGAAACCACCAUACAAAGGCUGGAGGAGGACAAGAUUGAUGUCAGUGUCCUACUGCUAAUGACUGAUGACCAGAUGAGAAGCUAUUUUCCUUCAUAUGGAGACAGACUGGCAGUUUUGGGAUUUUGUAGGAGGAAAGAAACUGAGCC